rnacentral:rRNA from 1 species
GAGUUUGAUCGUGGCUCAGGAUGAACGCUGGCGGCGUGCCUAAUACAUGCAAGUCGAGCGAACAGACGGGGAGCUUGCUCCCCUGACGUUAGCGGCGGACGGGUGAGUAACACGUGGGUAACCUACCUAUAAGACUGGGAAUAACUCCGGGAAACCGGGGCUAAUGCCGGAUAACAUGUUGGACCGCAUGGUCCUACAGUGAAAGACGGUCUUGCUGUCACUUAUAGGUGGACCCGCGCCGUAUUAGCUAGUUGGUAAGGUAACGGCUUACCAAGGCAACGAUACGUAGCCGACCUGAGAGGGUGAUCGGCACACUGGAACUGAGACACGGUCCAGACUCCUACGGGAGGCAGCAGUAGGGAAUCUUCCGCAAUGGGCGAAA